UCUAGAUUGAAAGUACAGGUAACACCACCACCAUAUAGUUUCAUAUUAUGGCCACUAUUUUCAGUUUCUCUUAUUCAGAGCUAUCUUUUUAAAUGCAGAAAAUUUUGACUUUUUAAGUAAUGGUCGAGGAUUUCUCAGGUGAAGGAAAUUGUGCUGAAUGCUGUAUAUCAGUGUCGUAGUAUCUUCCACUUAAUCUGUAUUUGGUGCCACAUUGCUGAAUAUUUUGUAAACAUUUCCUGUUAUUCUCAUAACCUUAUAUGUAGAAAUGACUUUAUUUUACCAGAUGAAACAGACUAGGUGGUGGUUUACUUGGCUGAAGGAAUUUAAGCAGCAGGACUGAGCUUUAAACUCAGCUGUCAAAGUGACAUUCAGAACCACUCCACCCUGGUUCCUUGGAGCAACUUGAUGGGGGAAGGGUGAUAAUCUGCAAAUCGCGGGCAGAGAAAAGGGCUCUGGAGACUAGGAGAGAUCUCAGUCCUGUGUACAACAGACUGAUAAAGGAGUGUCAGCCUUGAAGGAAUAAAAUGUAAGACUGAGGACUAAACCUGAACUGAAACAGGAGGGAGAGGAGUUUACGUUUAUUCAGAAGCUUAGUGGUGUUGAUUCUUUGUGACCCCAUGGGCCAUAGCCCACCAGUCUCUGUCCGUGAAAUUUUCCAGGCAAGAAUACUGGAGUGGGUUGCCAUUUCCUUCUCCAGGGGAUCUUCCUGACCCAAGGAUUGGACCUUGUCUCUUGAUUGGCGGGCGGAUUCUUUACCACUGUGCUGUCUGACCUGCUUUUAUGUGUUGUUGUUUAGUCGCUAAGUUUUAUCCGACUCUUUGCAACCCCGUGGACUGCAGAACACCAGGCUUUCCUGUCCUUCACUAUCUUCCGGAGUUUGCUCAAACUCACAUCCAUUGAGUUGGUGAUGCCACCCAACUAUCUCAUCCUCUGUCGCCCCCUUCUCCUCUUGCCCUCAGUCUUUGCCAGCAUCAGGGUCUUUUCCAGUGAGUAGGCUCUUCACAUCAGGUGGCCAAGUUAUAAGUUAAGUAAGCAAAGUGUCAGUAUGCAGCCUUGACUUUCUCCUUUCCCAAUUUUACACCGGUCCAUUAUUCUUUGUCCAGUUUUAACUGUUGCUUCUUGACCUUCAUACAGGUUUCUAACGAGGCAGGUAAGGUGGUCUGGUAUGCCCAUCUCUCUCAGAAUUUUCCAGUUUUUUUGUGAUCCACACAGUCAAAGGCUUUAGCGUAGUCAAUAAAGCAGGAGUAGAUGUUUUUCUGAAAUUCUCUUGCUUGUUCUGUGAUCCAGUGGAUGUUGGUAAUUUGAUCCCUGGUUCCUCUGCCCUUUCUAAGUCAAGCUUGAACAUCUAAAUGUUCUCAAUUUACAUACUAUUGAAGCCUGGCUUGAAGAAUUUUGAGCAUUACCUUGGUAGCAUGUUAAAUGGGCACAAUUUUAUGGUAGCUUGAACAUCUUUGGCAUCGCUUUCCUUUAGGAUUGGUGUGAAAACUGACCUUUUCCAGUCCUGUGACCACUGCUGAGUGUUCCUAAUUUGCUGGCAUAUUGAGUGCAGCACUUUCACAGCAUCAUCUUUUAGGACUGAAAUAGCUCAACUGGAAUUCCAUCAGCUCCACUAGCUUUGUUUGUAGUAAUGCUUCCUAAGGCCCACUUGACUUCACACUCCAGAUGUCUGACUCUAGCAGUACAGCACUGGUGGGCAGAAGAAUUCAGAAGAAAUGGCAUGUCAUGUAUGAGCACAAAAAGAACAGGGGCAGGCCCUGAAGUUAUGUCAAAGAAUUUCGGAAACGCAGAAGCGUUUGUG
ensembl:lncRNA